rnacentral:rRNA from 1 species
UACGGAGGGUGCAAGCGUUAUCCGGAAUCAUUGGGCGUAAAGAGUUCGUAGGCGGUUUGUCAAGUCUGGUGUUAAAUCCCGAAGCUUAACUUCGGUCCGGCACUGGAUACUGGCAGACUAGAAUGCGGUAGAGGUAAAGGGAAUUCCUGGUGGAGCGGUGAAAUGCGUAGAUAUCAGGAGGAACACCGGUGGCGUAAGCGCUUUACUGGGCCGUUAUUGACGCUGAGGAACGAAAGCCGGGGGAGCAAAU